CAUGCAGGCGGCUUGUUAAGCCAGAUGUGAAAGCCCGGGGCUCAACCUCGGAAUAGCAUUUGGAACUGGCAGGCUAGAGUCUUGUAGAGGGGGGUAGAAUUUCAGGUGUAGCGGUGAAAUGCGUAGAGAUCUGAAGGAAUACCGGUGGCGAAGGCGGCCCCCUGGACAAAGACUGACGCUCAGAUGCGAAAGCGUGGGGAGCAAACA
rnacentral:rRNA from 1 species